rnacentral:lncRNA from 1 species
UAGAAGCUAGCAUUAGUUAUAUAGUUCAUAGUCAUAAGACAUAAAAUAUGGAAUAUGAAUUUAUAGUGGGGGAACUCAUAAUAAGAAUCGCGAAGCGACGAUUAUUCAGACCUGCUAAAAACAAUUGUGAAGUGUUUUUAAGUUGUUUAUUUCACUUUACUAAUAAUUUUAUCGAUAUUAUUUUGUUCAUAACAAAGUAAAUAAAAAAUAAAUAAUUAAAUUUAAAAUAUUUUUUAUCAUUUUUUAUUUUAUAUUGAAAAGAUUUGCAUAUUAAUUACUGAAAUCAUUAAUAUUGAAAUCAUUGUUUUUUAUGAAUACUUAUAUCACUAAUAUUAGAUUGUUAUUAUAUCUACAAUUAAUGAUUCAUCAGUUCAGAGCAAGAGAGAGAAUAUUAAACAAAAAAUUAUUUGAACAAAUAUAUACAAUUUCUCAUGCAAUGGCUAAAAAAUGAAUGGCUAGAAUGAUUCAAAAGAAAAUCUUUCUGAUCAAGAGCUAUAAAAAACUAUUGCAAUAUAAUGCUGAAGAAUUAAAAUAAUUGGAAAAUUAAUUUGCGUUAAACAAAACAAAGAAAGGUUGAUUAAUAAAUUGAGUCAACAUCAACAUAAUAUCAUUACUAAACCAAUACACAAGAAAAUUACUAAAAAAAUAAUGAAAUAUCUUUUUCGUAUUAGAGGAAAAUUUCUAUAAUGACAAUACAGAAUGAAAAAAAGACGAGAUUUAUUUAGACGAUCAUCUCAAGAAAACAGGAUCAUGUCUAAAGUUACAAUAUAAAGAGUGUGCCAAAAUUAACGCAAGAUUUGAAUUUGCUGCCAUUUUUGCAUUAAGUUGUUGGCCCUGAAAAAAGAACAGUUUGACAGCUGAGAGUUUUGUUAGUAAAAAUGGAGCGUUAUACGAUACAACAACGUGGAAUGGAUUAUUAAUCAUCAAAAAAUAAAUGCUGGUUUUUCGAGCAAAAUAAUCCUAAGCGAUGAAGCACAUUUUCACCUCGAUGGCUUUGUUAAUCGUCAAAAUUGCCGUGUUUGGGGUUCGGAGAACCCACGUGUGAUUAGCGAAAAACAAAUGUAUCCAACGUGUCAUUGUUUAGUGUGGAUUUUGAGCAGGAGGCAUCAUCGGAUCAUAUUUUUUUGAGAAUGAGACUGUCAAGCAGUAACUGUUAAUGCUGUGCUCGAUAUCGCGACAUGAUAAUACAGUUCUUUCUGUCGAAAUUGGAUGAUAUUGAUAUGGCCAAUAUGUGGUUUCAAUAAGACGAUGCCACAUGCCAUACAGUCAAUGAAAUUCAAUUACUGCAUUUCCUGAUCGUGUACUCUCUCAUUUCGAUGAUCAGAAUUGGUGAUCAUCGAAAUGAUGAAUGAUCAUAAUCCCCUAGAUUAUGUGAUUUAACAUCAUUAGAUUUCUUUAUGGGAUUAUUUGAAGUCAAAGGUCUAUGUCAACAAUUCCACAACCAUACGUGCAUUACAAGAGGAAAUUAAACGCUGCAUCAAUGAAAUUCAGCCACAAUUAUGCAGAAAGAUGAAAAAUUUUGACGAAAGGGUGCGUAUGUACAAGCAAAGCCGUGGAGGCCAUUUGCCGGAUGUGUUAUUCCAUAAAUAACCUUAUCCUAUGCACUUUAUGAUUCACUUAAAAAAUAAAUAUCUAAAAACUAAAAACUCUCUUUUAUAUUCAAUUCAAAUCUUGGUUAAUUUUGGAACACCCUUUAUUUAAUAAUAAAGAUAUCAAAGAACGUUAUAUAUUUUUUAUUUUGUUUUCUAUUCUGAUCGAUUUAUCAAAUAUUUUGAAAAUCUUUCAAAAAUUAUAAUAUAAUUAAGAUUAGCAAUCAUAUUGAAGAAGUGUGAUUUAUAAAGCGAUUAUAUUUCUUCUGUGUUCAACAGGCAAAAAUUUAUUAUGAAUUGAAUUUUUCCAAAGAGCAAUAAGAAAGCAAAUUUUUUUAAUCUGGAAAAAGAUCUUAAAUCUUUAUAAGUCUCCAGUUAUUCUCACCAAGAAUGUGUUGCAGACAUGAAAGAGAGGGAAAAUUUCUGGAAUAUUUGCUUUAAGGAAAACAGUAUGAUUGACACAAUGGAAAAUCUGCUGAUAAUGUUGGAAUUAUGAAUAUAUAUUAAUUAAUUAUAUAUGAAUUAUAUUUAUCAUCAACUGCAACGAAUUCCUCAUACAAUAAUAAAAAAAUAUCAGUUCAAAUAUUAGAAUGAAGUAAAUGGAUGAAGCGAGAAAUAUGUUCAAGAAAAUGAUCAAAUAUUCUAUUUUUAAGAAGAUAGCAGAAAAUUGCAUUGGAGAUCUGCGGAAACACUUUUCAAAUUUUUUUUUAAAAAAUUCUUUGUGCAAUCCAAGCAGAAUUGGAAGAAAAUACUUCUACUAUGAAAAGAAAAAUAAUUUUCUCUUUGGUACGAAAAUCUCAAAGAAAUUGCAAUUAAAUACUAAAAUAAAAUCACAAAAAAAAAUUUAUUAUUUUUAAAAGAAAGAUCUUCUCCACAUAUUUUGAUGGAAUCUUGGCAAAAAUUAGAAUUAGAAACUCCAAAAGAAAGUAGGAUUAAACAGAAGAUUCUAUCAAGAUUUAUCAAUAACCCAAUUAUCUAUUAAGCUUAUCAGAAUGUUAUAUUGAAAAAAAUUUAACGUUCUAAAAAACUAAAAGAAUGUUAGGAAAAUAAGGAACACAUUAUUUACAAAAAAUACAAAAUCUCUUAAGAUCGCUGAAGAUCUUCGAAAUAUAUAACUAUACAAAUAAAUAAUAUUAAUUUAUUAGUUCUAUAAAAGAUAUAAAAACCUUUGAGAUCGCAAAGAAUCUGUGAAAUCGAAAAAAGAUCAAGAUAGGUGAUAAGAUUAAAUGUACAGAUGCUCAACUUAGAUCUUAUUUCAAAAGAAUAUAGAAUUUCAAAAAUUGAACAACGAAUCUCCGAGGGAUUAUGGCAAUUUUUAUUAUUAAAAAUCACUAUAUACAAGAUAUCCAAAUCAAGAAUUUUUAAUGGCAAUGAAUGAUACAUUGACAUUUAUAUUAUAACGCUCUUGAAGUGAAUAAAUUUGAAUAUCUAAACUUGAAAAAAUUUUUUUAUCAAUUAUUCGCGUUUGGAAAAAAUAUUAUUGAGCAAUUUUAAUGAAAAUUAAAAAAAUAAGAAUUAAAUUUUGCAUGAGGAGGCAAAUAUUCUGGUUCAAAAAAAUAAUCAGGAUUUUUUUUAAAAAUAAAAAGUUAUUUAUAUAAAUAUUUUAAACAGAUAAUCGAUCUUAAUUAAUAUAAUAAAAUAAAAUAAUGAAUUUAAAUUAAUCAAAUAUUCUUAAUGAAUUAUUUUGAAGUUAUCAUAUCAUCUUAAAUAUAUAUAAAUAUAUAGGCAUUGAAAUGAUUGACAUAUCAAAAGCUAACAAUAGAGGCCUGGGGCUUUGAUGCUCGGAGAUUAAAUAAAUGAAAUAGAUUAAAAAUUCAAGAGAAUUUCAAAAUCAUUAGAGACCUGAAUCUUGAUGCUUGAAGAUUAAAUAAAUAAAAUACAUUAAAAAUUCAAAAAAAUUUCAAGAUCAUUAAAGGCCAGGGCCUUGAUGCUCGGAGAUUAAAUAAAUGAAACGAAUAAAAGUAGAAAAUUUCAAAACCAUUUUCUAGAAUGUUAUGAUUUUUAGAUAGAUUUCAGUAGCGUGAAAAAAUGCAAAAAUUAUUCUAGUCUUAAAACUGAUAAGAAUUUAAAUAAUCUUUCAACAUUUUAUCUUAUUAGUACACAAAUAAUCCUCAAAAAAGUUGAAAGAAGCUUAAUUGAAAAAGAAAUCAAAUAUCGGUUCAUUAAUCAUAUCAAUUAAUUUUAUUUUAAGAGAGAAAGAAUUAUAGUCAAAACCGUGAUGGAAGUCACGAAAUUUGUGCACAAAUUAAAUUAAAAAAGAAAUGUCUAAUUAGCAUCCUAUAUUUCAAGAAUUUGAUAUUCUAUUGGAUCAAUCAUUGGAACAAUCAUUCUAAGCAAAUUAUAAAACAGGAUAUUAGCAUUUAGAUUGUUUAUGAAGUGUUAGAAAAUUAUUUUAGGAAUAAAAAUAUUAUUAUUUAUUGUCUUGACAAGAUCUUACAACGACAAAUUUAUGUGAUUAUCCUUAGGACUGUCAUUGGCCUAUUUCUAUGCAAUCCCAUAUCUCAUAAAAUAAUUAAAUCCAUUCAUAAUAUUUUCGCUUUAUAGCAAAGCAAUAGAUUACAGUUAAUAAAAAAUUCUUUUCUUUGAAAAAACAAAGAAAAUAUCAAUGAUUUAAUUAAACUUGGUUUAAACCUUUGGAGACUAAAAUUGGCUUUUAGUAAAACUUCCUGUUAAAAAAAUGAUUCUAUAAAAAAUUAUUAUUAAUAUAAAUAAUUGAAUUCGGCUUAAGCUUUUGGAGAUUGAAAUUGGCUAUUAGCAAAAUAGAAACGACUUCUUGUUAAAAAAAUGAUUCUAAAAAAAAUUAUUAUUAAUAAAAUUAAAUUCGAUUAUUUAAAAAGCUGUUAAUCUUUUGAUUUUGAAUAAUAUCUGAUGCGGGAUACUCAUCUGUAGAGAACAGUAUUUGUAGACGCCAUUUCAUAUGCUGGCAUUAUACGCUUCCUGUUAAAAAUUUUUCUAAUAAAAUCUAAUUUAAAUAAAAUACAUCCAUUAUAAAUAAAUAUAUAAAUAAAUAUAGAUAUGGAAAAAACUGACAUCAGAAAAUAGAUUUGAAUAUUUUGAAAUUAUUGGAGAAUCUAGAUUAUUAUAAUUAAAACGCUGGAUGAUUGAUAUAUUUCAUUUCUAAAUAUUCUAAAACUUAGAUAUUUCGAAAAAUACAUAUAAGGCGAAUAAUCCUCCUUUUAACAAAGAUAGAUUUUCAUAAAGAAAAAUCUUAUUUCGAAGAUCGAACAAGUAUUUUAUUUCAUUUAUUUCGUACUUAAAGUUUGAAUUCUUUCUUAGCUCUCUAUUUUUUUUUUCAUGUUGCAUUACGAGUCUGAUUAUAGUAUUAUUGCAAUCAUUGUUUCCAGUGAUCACCUAGGCUUGAUGUCUUACGGAUGCAUUAAACUCACAGAAAGUAAAUAAAACUCCUUUGAGAAGUAACUUAUAUUUUAUAAAAUCAGCGAGAUUAUUUAUAAAAAUAAUGAAAUACAUCUUCGAUCAAUUUAUCUGAUGCAAU